UCUUCACUAUGUCUUAUUGCACUUGGGUAUGUGAUAGAAACAAAAUCCAGUGAGAAAAUAAAGAAGAAAAAUGGAAAUUUAAAAGCCAAAUAUAAGAUCGUGAAAAGAUAAAGUCUUAGUUUCUGUUUACUAUUUAAGUGGAGAAGCUGCAUAUACAAUGAAGAGACAGAUUUUCUGAAUCAUGAAGUUUCUGUUAUUUUCAUAUGGACUGCAACCUUUAUUUCAAAAUGAAGCAAUGCAUUUGAAGUUCCCUCUCCUUUAUAAACAAUGUAAGAAAUCUGUAUCAGAAGGUACCAGAAUAUAGUGAAAAGGACACAGAAAACAUACUGGUCAUGUUACACUCAGGUUACUCAAAAAAGCAGAUCAUGGGAAAACUGAGAGUUCACCAGUUAUGUUUUUAUUAUGGAUUCAGAUCCCUUAAGCUACAUUUGGGACUAUUAAGUU